UUUUUUUUAAAGCCGAGAAAUUUGCCGUGUUUGAUAGCUAGCUGCGAGACCUCACACCGUGCACAUCUACUGCGGGUGUGGUGCCUGUUAUCGGACCUGGAGUUAGCAACAUCCCCCCAAAAGAGUAGAGUCCUGCCCCUAGCCCUGUCAGCAUAGCAGAAAUGAUGAGGAUGAUGAUGUCAGCAGCAGCCGUUCUCCUCUGCGUGGGUACAGCGUGCAAUGCAGGGAGGCAGGCAGGAGAGACUGGCCGUUUGAAAAGGGAGAGGUUACCGGCAGCUGAAAACUGGAAUCCAGGAGAGCUUGGUAGGUGGGUUCCAGAUGCUGACGAGAAAACAGAAAUAAGGUGAGGAACAACAAAGACUCCGCCCACGGGGGGAGGAGCUGAUGCUGUGGAAAACUACCCAGACCAUGACACCACCCCCCCGUCAAGGGUCGACCCCCGGCGACCGAACCACCCCCUGCCCGCGCCGAGCCCUGUAAAAAGCAGAAAGCAAAGCAGGAUCCAAAAUCAACGAACGGGACACCCAGGACCGCUCCUCCGGCCUGUAACCCUCCCAGUCCACCAAGAACUGCCGG
ensembl:lncRNA